GAAUGUUUUUUGAAAGCUUUUUUGUGAUUGAUUGGUGACUCAAAGUGGUUAACGCCCACUGAGAUUUUCGUCUCUAUCAUUUGUAUGGGACUACGUAACAGAGAGAGCGCUAUACUUACUU